AUAUAUUAAUAAACGUAUGCUUUGAACAGUAAAUGGGUUCUUUCGUAAUUAUCACAUACAAAUUCUCGUCAAGCCCUGACCCACCCACCGUUGAAAGAGAAACGCGUCAACCAACAAUAUCACAAAACCCAUGGAACCGGAAUAAAUCCGGCGACUGUGAAAGAGGAAGAGUGAUGCAGCAGAGAGCCACAUGUGAGACGACGGUCGUACCAGGGUUUCCGGUCACUGCAGCGGCGGUCAACAGUGGUGGCUAGGGUUUCGAUUGCGGUUUCAGGAGGGAUCAGCGGAACCCGAUAAUGAUGAAGAUGGCCGGCGAAAUACCUAGGGUUUCGGCUAAGUUCCGGCAGAAGGAUUAAAGCUUGCAUGUUCCAUUUUCAAGUAGAUCGGUGACGGAUUCGUCUGCAUGUGUGCUUUUCUGAAUUUAAGGUAUAACCCAUCUACCUCCCCCCAUCAAUCUCAUCACAACAUCUCUGCCUCUGUCCCCGGCGACGUCUGGCGACCAAUGAAACAAGAUUUAUUAUUGUGGAUGCUUUGUGCACUGGAACCAAACGAUUCUUGAGCAAUUACAUCUUAACCUUGAAAGGCCAUACUAAUGAGAAGGUAAAUUAAGUUGAUGCGUAUUUUUGUCCGAAAACGUCGGAGAACGCCUGGCAGCCGCCCCCCUGGGCGUUUUGGUUGCAAAAAUUGGUUGAAGCGUGCUUUAUUCCACGCCGGAGAGCAAAAGGGUUUGCCCAAUCACAUGCAGUGUUCUUUUGUUUGUCCAAUAGCUUUUUUUGUUAGUUUUUUUAUUUAAUUCUUUACACCCCCUUUAACAUAAUGCCCCACAUCCCCACUUCCCCACUACACCCAUUUUAGAAAACGUCCCAUAAUGCCCCAUUGCUGACUGGGCUGCCACAUGGCGCAAAACGCCCAAAGGUAAGUUUAUUACCAGUGCACAUGGUCUAAGUUGGUAGUAGGAGACUUUGUGAGACUUGAUUAAUUAGCUAAACUGAUACUUUGUUAAUUAGGUGCUUUACAUAAGGUUUUUUCUUACCUCAUGUAAGUUUAUUUCAAAGUUGAAUUCAAAAGAGGAAUCAAAUUGUUCAAAAGGAUUGAGCCAAAUUUUAUAACAAUAAUACUUAUGAUUCAUAUUUA